rnacentral:rRNA from 1 species
UACGUAGGUGGCAAGCGUUAUCCGGAAUUACUGGGCGUAAAGCGCACGCAGGCGGUCUUUUAAGUCUGACGUGAAAGCUCCCGGCUUAACUGGGAGAGGUCGUUGAAUACUGGAAGACUUGAGGAAAUGAGAGGGGUGUAGAAUUCCUGGUGUAGUGGUGGAAUGCGUAGAUAUCAGGAGGAAUACCAGUGGCGAAAGCGGCACCCUAGCAUUUUUCUGACGCUCAUGUGCGAAAGCGUGGGGAGCGAACGGG